rnacentral:rRNA from 1 species
UAGGGAAUCUUCGGCAAUGGACGGAAGUCUGACCGAGCAACGCCGCGUGAGUGAAGAAGGUUUUCGGAUCGUAAAGCUCUGUUGUAAGAGAAGAACGAGUGUGAGAGUGGAAAGUUCACACUGUGACGGUAUCUUACCAGAAAGGGACGGCUAACUACGUGCCAGCAGCCGCGGUAAUACGUAGGUCCCGAGCGUUGUCCGGAUUUAUUGGGCGUAAAGCGAGCGCAGGCGGUUAGAUAAGUCUGAAGUUAAAGGCUGUGGCUUAACCAUAGUAGGCUUUGGAAACUGUUUAACUUGAGUGCAAGAGGGGAGAGUGGAAUUCCAUGUGUAGCGGUGAAAUGCGUAGAUAUAUGGAGGAACACCGGUGGCGAAAGCGGCUCUCUGGCUUGUAACUGACGCUGAGGCUCGAAAGCGUGGAGAGCAAACAGGAUUAGAUACCCUGGUUAUUCCACGCUGUAAACGAUGAGUGCUAGGUGUUAGACCCUUUCCGGGGUUUAGUGCCGUAGCUAACGCAUUAAGCACUCCGCCUGGGGAGUACGACCGCAAGGUUG